rnacentral:lncRNA from 1 species
UUUCAUUACUACAGAAAGAAACCUUAUGUUCUGAACCCUCACCCCAACCCCCAUCUUGAGGCUGUGUCAUGUAGUAGUUUAUUUUUUAAUUGUUUUAUUUAUUAUGCACACAGGCAUGUCUGUCUGUGCAUAUUCCAUAUGUGUGGGUACUGUCAGAGAUGAGAAGACAGUGUUGGACUCCCUUGAAUUGGGAUUUACAGGCAGUUGUGCAUCACCCAUGGAGGUUUAAAUUUGCACAAAUUUAAAUGAGGUCAAGCCUUUUCUGAGUGUGAACAUUUGGAGGCCAGAGGACAACCUUGAGUAUCAUUUCCACAGUGUCUACUUUUUUUGAGUCAGGGUCAUUCAUGGGUCAGUCAUUCUAACAAGCCCCAGAUAUCCUCCUGCCUCACCCUAUCCAGCCAAGGGCUUGUCUCACAGAUUCUUUUCAUAGUUACAUUGGUUGCCUGGAUAGCCUUGUUCAUAAAGAGUGUAUGGACUUUUACUUACAGAGGACUUUUUCCUGUCAGUUCUCUAUUCACUGCUAUAACAAUUACCCCAGUACAGCAACUCAAGACAGAAGAGAACAUUAAACAUUGUAGUUCUGUGGGUCAGGAACUUGAAGGUGGGAUUAAAGCAUACACUGCCACCUUCUGGCUAGAUUUUAUUUUUAUUUUAUUUUUCUGCCUGAAUGAAUGUUUUGCGUUCCAUGUGUGUAGUG